rnacentral:rRNA from 1 species
UACGAAGGGGGCUAGCGUUGUUCGGAAUUACUGGGCGUAAAGCGCGCGUAGGCGGUUCGCCAAGUCGGGCGUGAAAACCCCGGGCUCAACCCGGGAAUUGCGUUGGAUACUUGCUGACUUGAGGUCGGGAGAGGGUAGUUGAAUUCCCAGUGUAGAGGUGAAAUUCGUAGAUAUUGGGAAGAACACCAGUGGCGAAGGCGGCUACCUGGCCCGAAUCUGACGCUGAGGCGCGAAAGCGUGGGGAGCAAACAGG